CCAGACUCCUACGGGAGGCAGCAGUGGGGAAUAUUGGGCAAUGGGCGCAAGCCUGACCCAGCAACGCCGCGUGAAGGAAGAAGGCUUUCGGGUUGUAAACUUCUUUUAAGAGGGAAGAGUAGAAGACGGUACCUCUUGAAUAAGCCACGGCUAACUACGUGCCAGCAGCCGCGGUAAUACGUAGGUGGCAAGCGUUGUCCGGAUUUACUGGGUGUAAAGGGCGUGUAGCCGGGCCGGCAAGUCAGAUGUGAAAUCCCAAGGCUCAACCUUGGAACUGCAUUUGAAACUGUUUUUCUUGAGUACCGGAGAGGUCAUCGGAAUUCCUUGUGUAGCGGUGAAAUGCGUAGAUAUAAGGAAGAACACCAGUGGCGAAGGCGGAUGACUGGACUGUAACUGACGUUGAGGCUCGAAAGCGUGGGGAGCAAACAGGAUUAGAUACCCGUGUAGC
rnacentral:rRNA from 1 species